CCCUUAGAUGUUCUGGGCCGCACGCGCGCUACACUGACGAAGUCAGCGAGCAUGUCCUACGCCGACAGGUGCGGGGAAUCUUGUCAAACUUCGUCGUGAUGGGGAUUGAUUAUUGAAAUUCUUGAUCAUCAACGAGGAAUUCCUAGUAAGCGCAAGUCAGCAGCUUGCGUUGAUUACGUCCCUGCCCUUUGUACACACCGCCCGUCGCGACUACCGAUUGAAUGGUUUAGUGAGAUCUUCGGAUUGGCGCCACUGCGGCUCAGCAAUGGGCUCGGUGGAUGCCGAAAAGUUGAUCAAACUUGAUCAUUUAGAGGAAGUAAAAGUCGUAACA
rnacentral:rRNA from 1 species